AUGUCAGCAGGCCUAUUAGUGGAAGUUGGUUUCUUUGCAGGUAGUUAUUGGUGUGCUGUGAUAGUGGCUUUUUUGGACUGGAGAUUCAGGAGGGAGUUGGUUCUGGAAGGGAUGAAUGUGUUGAUGGGUAAAAGUCAUGACUUCCAAAUUGUCUUGGAUUUUGUACAAGAAAAGACCCAAGUUCACAUGAUCAAUGGACAACCAUCACUUUAGACAACAGCAUCUCAUCAUUGCAAAACAAAUAAGGGUUGAAACUUCCUUGUGGUCUGGAAUUUUGUUCACCCUAUCUGUUUUUCCAUCAAUCUGUUAAACUGUAUCUUAAUCACUGUACACUUUGUUUUGAAAAGAUGCAGUUUAUAAAGUUACAUAAAUUAGAACUAUUUAAUUUACUGAUCUUGUGAUUCAAUAAAUAACUCUUUACUAUCCCUCACUGCUCUUGUAUCAGUAACUAUUACCUGAUUACUGUUAAUGUCUUUAGGCAGCAGGAAGGCUUGUAAUGGAGUCAGUACUAGGAUUGUUAUUUUUCUAAUUAUAAACUGUUUAUGCAAGGGGCAACAAAGCUCUAAAGAUCUUCAAUAGGAUGUUGACACCCCAGAUGAAUGGGUGGCACAUGAUCCUCAAUACAGAAGUGAGAUGAUGCUUAAAGUACACGAGUACAAAAAGGGUAUUAGAGCAAAUGAACAGAGA